GGCCGGUCAGUCCGGGGAGCAGGGGUGCAUUUGUGCUACGCGUGCGCAGGAGCCCCCUGACCUAUGUCUAUGUGAAGCACUGUGGAAGGUUUUACUAAACAUUGUUUAAAUGGAAGCUUACGGAGAUACAUGAACUGCCACUGGAGAUGCUUGGGAUGAAGUCAUAAUCUAAUAAAAUGAAGCCAGGAGCGACAAAGGUCAUAUAAGAGUUUAGUACAUGUUCUAUUAAAUUUCCGAGGCAGCUCAAAGAGACAGACCGAAGACAGAAAAGAGAUGGGUAGUCUGACCUUCAACAGUAAGGGCUCUUUACUGGUUCGCACAGUAGAGAGCAGACUCCUCCCGAAAGCUGAAAAUGGUCUGCCAGAGGAAGAGAUGGCUUCACCCCUUUAUAGGGUCAAGAGACUUCAGGGCACGGAAGUGUCUGGAGCCUUCAGCCAAACAAGCAAUAGAGGUCAAUGGAGAAUCCCCACGGCCAACGGAAAGUCCCAGAACCUUUGAGUCUCAAGAUGGAGAGCCUCACAGACCUAACCAGGAUGCCUCGGAGUUAGGUCCCAUGGGGUUACCUUGUCCAAACGUUUUCACUGUGUUGGAUACAUGGACUGGUUGAAUAGAGAGUUGGCCUCCCAUUUGGAGUUCAGACUGUGUCAGAGCAAGUGAGAGGAGAGAAGGGUAGAAACAAGGUGAAAGAAGUGGCCAUCUCAGAAAGACAGGGUGGCCCUGACAGGCCAACUUGGAACAUAGGAUGGUCGAGCAGAUGAGAGCAAAGGAGGCCCAUGAGGGCCUAGGGUCUCUAUACAACUCUGUGCCAGGUUACACCACAGUCCAGUCAGGGCCUGGCCAGCUAACCUCAAGCUUGCCCCUGUCCUUCCCACUGUAAGGCUUACUUUUGUAACUCUAGGACUGCACUCUGGGCCUCCUGUGGAUUUAAUAAACUCCUGUUGGUGCCUGGUUAGUUUCUGUGAGAGUAUUUUCUUUCAGGUGUGUGUUUUGUUGUUGUUGUUGUUGUUUUGUUUCCAGUGAUG
ensembl:lincRNA